rnacentral:rRNA from 1 species
UAGCGGCAGGCUUAAUACAUGCAAGUCGAGGGGCAGCAUGAGUGUAGCAAUACAUUUGAUGGCGGCCGGCAAACGGGUGCGGAACACGUACAGAACCUUCCUUCGAGCGGGGAAUAGCCCAGAGAAAUUUGGAUUAAUACCCCAUAGUACAACGGAGUGGCAUCACUUUGUUGUUAAAGAUUUAUCACUUGAAGAUGGCUGUGCGGCUGAUUAGGUAGUUGGCGGGGUAACGGCCCACCAAGCCUGCGAUCAGUAACUGGUGUGAGAGCACGACCAGUCACACGGGCACUGAGACACGGGCCCGACUCCUACGGGAGGCAGCAGUAAGGAAUAUUGGUCAAUGGACGAAAGUCUGAACCAGCCAUGCCGCGUGGAGGAUGAAGGUCCUCUGGAUUGUAAACUUC